UCUUGGUGGCUUAGAUGGUAAAGAGUCUGCCUGCAGUGCAGGAGACCCAGGUUCAAUUCCUGGGUCAGGAA
rnacentral:tRNA from 1 species